GUGUGAACUUCAGCCACAUGUAUAGUAAAAUUGUAACUGUACAGAGAUUAGUAUAGUCCUUGCUCAGGAACGACAUGUACAUUUGUGAGCCAUUGCAUAUUAUU
ensembl:snRNA U6 U6 spliceosomal RNA